AGCAGCGUGGCUCAGUGGAAAGAGCCUGGGCUUCGGGGUCAGAGGUCAUGGGUUCGACUCCCAGCUCUGUCA
rfam:Ornithorhynchus anatinus chromosome 10, whole genome shotgun sequence.